rnacentral:pre_miRNA from 15 species
CCCCGGGCAGCGCCUGUGCUGGCGACGGGCCAUUAUUACUUUUGGUACGCGCUGUGACGCUUCAAACUCGUACCGUGAGUAAUAAUGCGCCGUCGGCAGCCCGACACCGAGACCGCGGC